rnacentral:rRNA from 1 species
GAUGAACGCUGGCGGCGUGCCUAAUACAUGCAAGUCGAGCGAACAGACGAGGAGCUUGCUCCUCUGACGUUAGCGGCGGACGGGUGAGUAACACGUGGAUAACCUACCUAUAAGACUGGGAUAACUUCGGGAAACCGGAGCUAAUACCGGAUAAUAUAUUGAACCGCAUGGUUCAAUAGUGAAAGACGGUUUUGCUGUCACUCAUAGAUGGUUCCGCGCCGCAUUAGCUAGUUGGUAAGGUAACGGCUUACCAAGGCGACGAUGCGUAGCCGACCUGAGAGGGUGAUCGGCCACACUGGAACUGAGACACGGUCCAGACUCCUACGGGAGGCAGCAGUAGGGAAUCUUCCGCAAUGGGCGAAAGCCUGACGGAGCAACGCCGCGUGAGUGAUGAAGGUCUUCGGAUCGUAAAACUCUGUUAUUAGGGAAGAACAAAUGUGUAAGUAACUAUGCACGUCUUGACGGUACCUAAUCAGAAAGCCACGGCUAACUACGUG